rnacentral:misc_RNA from 1 species
CACUCCUAGAGGUGAGGGGCAGCGGGCCAAAAAAGGAUAGCGUGUCUGACUUGAACGACGCUCGUCCGUGAUUCGCUCUUCCGGUGCCCCUUUCGGACUCCUCACAAUCGUUCAUUCUUUUUCUAUUUCGAACGAAUGGGGGCUUCCUGAUGACGGGGGGACACCCUCCGUGUGUGCGGCAUUUCAGGGCCGCGUGCCUGCUCUGUGGGGCCGCCGGGGGCCUGCGGCCUGGCCUUGGGUGCUGGCUGCGGACUGCUGGUGUGGGCGGGCAGAGGGCUGCGCUGGGGCUGCGCGCAUCCGGAGGCUGGGCGAGAGGAGCCCGCUAGGCGCGCGGCCCCGGCUCGACGGCAGGGCGCUGAGUCCUGGGCGAAGACUGCUGAGCCGUAUGCCUGCGAAGGUAGGCGAGCUGCGCUUGUGUAUGUAUAGUGGUGGACCUGUUAGAGGUGUAGGGGACUUUUUCGGCGACGAGGAAAAUGUCUUUUCAGGAGUUGGUGAGCAGGGCGGGGGUGUGCCCCCGCCCAUUCGGGCGCUGCGUGCCGCGCUGCUUGUUCGCCUCUAUUCUCUGUCUAACGCUCUCGUGUCAGCUUUGGCCACUUUCCAUCGCUCGGUUGUGGCCUCCUAUUCUCUCGAAACCGUUGCUCCUCCCUCAUCGCGGUCGACUUGCUGCACGUGAGGAAGCGUGCCCCUCGACCUCCUUACGCCUCUCCGUCGCAGCGGUUCCUCAGCCGUGACGGCAAGGGAGGCGGAGCUCGCUCCUCCAAGCUUCUCUCUGUGGAUGCGGCGGGGAGGGCGGGCGUCUCAGGUUUGCAGCCUACUUGACGCCAUUUCUUGCGCGCUCUGUUUGAUGUGUUUGGAAGAGUAAAGGGUGCUGCUUGAUGUUAAGUAUUCUCGCGCUGUGCAAGUGAUCUCUAUGGUUUUUUUCGCUCAUCUGCCAACGAGCGCUGCUGCGAACAUCACUGUUACUCCCUCUGCUCUCCUGUUUUCUUCGUUUGUAG